GGUGGGUGACAAUUAGGGGCUCUUGCUGGAGUUUUUCCCAUGCACAAACUCAUUUUGUGUGAUGAGAAAUGGCAUGGAGAAGAGAUAUGGUGCAAGGGAGAAAGUCCAACUAAUUUGGACUCUAGGGUUUUGGUUAUUUGCUUCUUAAUUAGGUUUCAUCCUAACCUAAUUAGUUUAGAUCUAAGUAAAGAUGAGUUAGCUUAAUCUAAUUAGAUAUCUAAAAUUUUAAUCUAAUUAGGAAUAGAUUGAACCCAAGUCCUGAUCAAAUUAGAGCUAAUUC
rnacentral:lncRNA from 1 species